rnacentral:rRNA from 1 species
GGUUGAUCCUGCCAGUAUUAUAUGCUGAUGUUAAAGAUUAAGCCAUGCAUGUGUAAGUUUAAAGACCUAGUAGGAUGAAACUGCGGACGGCUCAUUAUAACAGUAAUAGUUUCUUUGGUUAGUAUACGUACAAGGAUAACUUUGUGAAUGAUAAAGCUAAUACUUGAGACGAUCUGGGGAGUACUUGUACUUUCCGGCCGGUGGCCGCGAGGUUGCCGAGAAAUGACAUUCUCUUGUGAAAAAGGAUGCCACGACAAUUGAAGAAAGCAACGCUUUUUACAAGUAACCAAUGG